rnacentral:lncRNA from 1 species
GUUCUUGGCUUGUGCCGGGGGUUUGGUUUGCGGCAACCAGACCUACAUCGUGUACAUGAACCCGGCCCACCGGCCGGCAGUCCACCCGACCCACGCCGACUGGUACGCUGCGCACCUUCAGUCUCUGGACAUCGACCCCGGCCGCCACCUACUCUAUACCUACUCCGACGCCCUCCACGGCUUCGCGGCCUCCCUGCUGCCGCACCACCUCGACCUCCUCCGCCGCUCCCCCGCCGUAGUCCAACUCCACCCCGACCCUGUACUCACCCUGCACACCACCCGCUCCCCGCAGUUUCUUGGUCUCGCACCCGACGCCUCCUCCUCGGCGGCCGUUCCCCGCCCCAUACAGGCCG